rnacentral:tRNA from 4 species
GGCCUCGUGGCGGAGAGUUACGCGGUGGAUUGCAACUCCACUUACCCUUGGUUCAAGUCCAGGGCGAGGCCUCCA